GACAGAGGCCCCAAGCGUUAGGCGGAAUCACUGGGCUUAAAGCGUGUGUAGGCGGACGCCUAAGUGUCUUGUGAAAUCCCACGGCUCACCCGUGGAACUGCUGGGCAUACUGGGCGUCUUGGGCCAACUAGGGGCAGCCGGAACAAGCGGUGGAGCGGUGAAAUGCGUAGAGACUCCGGAAGAACACCGGUGGCGAAGGCGGCCUGCUGGGCAGUAUCUGACACUGAGGCGCGACAGCGUGGGGAGCAAACAGG
rnacentral:rRNA from 1 species